rnacentral:rRNA from 1 species
AUUGAACGCUGGCGGAAUGCUUUACACAUGCAAGUCGAACGGCAGCACGGACUUCGGUCUGGUGGCGAGUGGCGAACGGGUGAGUAAUACAUCGGAACGUGCCUAGUAGUGGGGGAUAACUACUCGAAAGAGUGGCUAAUACCGCAUGAGAUCUACGGAUGAAAGCAGGGGAUCGCAAGACCUUGUGCUACUAGAGCGGCCGAUGGCAGAUUAGGUAGUUGGUGGGAUAAAAGCUUACCAAGCCGACGAUCUGUAGCUGGUCUGAGAGGACGAUCAGCCACACUGGGACUGAGACACGGCCCAGACUCCUACGGGAGGCAGCAGUGGGGAAUUUUGGACAAUGGGCGCAAGCCUGAUCCAGCAAUGCCGCGUGCAGGAUGAAGGCCUUCGGGUUGUAAACUGCUUUUGUACGGAACGAAAAGCCCUGGGUUAAUACCCUGGGGUCAUGACGGUACCGUAAGAAUAAGCACCGGCUAACUACGUGCCAGCCGCCGCGGUAAUAC